CUAGCAACCAUAUAAUUUAGAAAUGGUAUGAUAUAUGUUGCCGUCUUGUGACCCCCAGUUGACAAGCAAUUUCAAGAAAAAACACCAUUUCACUCAGUUUGAUUAUCAUUUUGCAGGCCUGGUAUAGCAGAAUUAGAGUUGAAGCUCUCUGAGUAUACCAAAAAGAUGUCAUAUCUGCAACAGAUGGUUCAGGAGCUAGCCUCAAAGUAUGACUAUAAUCCGAACAAAGACUAUGCCGAGACAGAGCUGAAGUUGAGGGAACAUUGCAAUCGUUUAUCGGAACAGUAAAAUCCUUCAAUAUGAUAUACAGUAAGGUGCAGGCCGGUCAAAUGAGGGCACGGGCGAAGAACAACAUGACCAAGAGACUGUCCCCAUUGGGCCACAAGGUGGAG